UACGUAGGGUGCAAGCGUUAAUCGGAAUUACUGGGCGUAAAGCGUGCGCAGGCGGUUUGGUAAGACAGAUGUGAAAUCCCCGGGCUUAACCUGGGAAUUGCAUUUGUGACUGCCCGGCUAGAGUGUGUCAGAGGGGGGUAGAAUUCCGACGUGUAGCAGUGAAAUGCGUAGAUAUGUGGAGGAAUACCGAUGGCGAAGGCAGCCCCCUGGGAUAACACUGACGCUCAUGCACGAAAGCGUGGGGGAGCAAACAGG
rnacentral:rRNA from 1 species